AAUCGGAGCCACUGCUUGUUUUUACUUUAACCGUUUCACUGCUGAGUGUUUGUUUUAAAUGAUUAAAUUUCGAGUUAUUUUGGGUUAUUAUCAAGUUUAAUUCACAAAUAUCCGAACAGAGAGAUUUAGUAUUGUCUGAUUUCUCUGAGGAAGUUGUAAAAUGACAACAAACAUCAAGGAGCCCCACUUGACCACCGGGGUGAGAGGAUGGAGACUGUGGGUCACAGAAAGCCAGAGCAGGGGCAGCGUGCCAGAGGCUGGAGAUGGUAGCAGGAAUGCUAAUGGAGCCAUAACCACCACUAAUACCUUUAACAGCAUCCUGGCAGAGCUCCUCAAGCCAGGCCUCUUAAUCUCAGUUCUGGAAGCUGGCUUAUUUCCUUGACCCACCACCCUUCCUCUUUGUCGUCACUUGAGUAGCUGAUGUGCGGUAAGCCCACUGAUACACACUGGCUGAUCAACAGAA
rnacentral:lncRNA from 1 species